AUGCAUGUUGAUACUAUAAUGGAAUCUCGUGAUGCAACAUUUUUUGAGAACAUAUUUCCUAUGAAAGAUAUGCAUAGCAUUGCUAGAUUUUCUUCUGAGAUAAUUCCUGAAUCUAGUACAACUGAUGAAUAUUUCGAACAAUCACAUGAGGAAGUCCUUGAGAAGGAUAACAAUGAAGUUCCUAGAAGGAACAAGAGACAAAGGAUUGCAAAAUCCUUUGGUGAUGAUUUCAUUGUAUACCUUGUGGACGACACACCCAAGACGAUUGCAGAAGCAUAUGCAUCUCCGGAUGUAGAUGAUUGGAAAGAAGCUGUUCAUAAUGAGAUGGACUCAAUUCUUUCUAAUGGAACUUGGGAACUAACUGAUAGACCAUAUGGUUGUAAACCUGUGGGCUGUAAGUGGGUGUUCAAAAAGAAGCUAAAGCCUGAUGGUACUAUUGAUAAGUACAAGGCGCGGCUAGUGGCCAGGGGCUACACUCAGAAAGAAGGCGAAGAUUACUUUGACACC
rnacentral:rRNA from 1 species